rnacentral:rRNA from 1 species
UACGUAGGGUGCGAGCGUUAAUCGGAAUUACUGGGCGUAAAGAGUGCGUAGGCGGUUCUUUGUGUCCGCUGUGAAAGCCCCGGGCUUAACCUGGGAAUGGCAGUGGAAACUAGGGGACUGGAAUCUGGCAGAGGGGGGUGGAAUGCCGCGUGUAGCGGUGAAAUGCGUAGAUAUCGGGAGGAACACCUGUGGCGAAAGCGGCGCACUGGACCACAUCUGACGCUGAGGCGCGAAAGCUAGGGGAGCAAACAGG